rnacentral:rRNA from 1 species
UACAGAGGGUGCGAGCGUUGUUCGGAAUUAUUGGGCGUAAAGCGCUGGUAGGUGGCUUGUUAAGUCGCGUGUGAAAUCUCCAGGCUCAACCUGGAAAGUGCGCGCGAAACUGGCAAGCUUGAGUGCCGGAGAGGGUCGCGGAAUUCCCAGUGUAGAGGUGAAAUUCGUAGAUAUGGGGAGGAACACCGGUGGCGAAAGCGGCUCACUGGACCAUAACUGACGCUGAUGGCACGAAAAGCCUAGGGGAGCAAACAGG